UACGUAGGGGGGCAAGCGUUUGUCCGGGAUUUAUUGGGCGUAAAGAGCGUGUAGGCGGCUUUACAGGUCCGUUGUGAAAACUCGAGCUCAACCUCGAGACGCCGGUGGAAACCGUAAGGCUAGAGUCCGGAAGAGGAGAGUGGAAUUCCUGGUGUAGCGGUGAAAUGCGCAGAUAUCAGGAGGAACACCCGUGGCGAAAGCGGCUCUCUGGGACGGUACUGACGCUGAGACGCGAAAGCGUGGGGAGCAACAGG
rnacentral:rRNA from 1 species